rnacentral:rRNA from 1 species
AUAUACGACCGUACCGCAAACCGACACUGGUGCGCGAGAUGAGUAUUCUAAGGCGCUUGAGAGAACUCAGGAGAAGGAACUCGGCAAAUUGACACCGUAACUUCGGAAGAAGGUGUGCCCUAUUAGUGUGUAGUGAACAACGAAGCAUGAAUGGGUUGCAAAAAAUCAGUGGCUGCGACUGUUUAUUAAAAACACAGCACUCUGCAAACACGAAAGUGGACGUAUAGGGUGUGACGCCUGCCCGGUGCUGGAAGAUUAAAUGAUGGGGUGCAAGCUCUUGAUUGAAGUCCCAGUAAACGGCGGCCGUAACUAUAACGGUCCUAAGGUAGCGAAAUUCCUUGUCGGGUAAGUUCCGACCUGCACGAAUGGCGUAACGAUGGCCACACUGUCUCCUCCUGAGACUCAGCGAAGUUGAAAUGUUUGUGAUGAUGCAAUCUCCCCGCGGAAAGACGGAAAGACCCCAUGAACCUUUACUGUAGCUUUGUAUUGGACUUUGAACAGAUCUGUGUAGGAUAGGUGGGAGGCUUUGAAGCAGGGUCGCUAGAUCUUGUGGAGCCAACGUUGAAAUACCACCCUGGUGUGUUUGAGGUUCUAACCUAGGUCCAUUAUCUGGAUCGGGGACAGUGCAUGGUAGGCAGUUUGACUGGGGCGGUCUCCUCCCAAAGCGUAACGGAGGAGUUCGAAGGUACGCUAGUUACGGUCGGACAUCGUGACGAUAGUGCAAUGGCAUAAGCGUGCUUAACUGCGAGACUGACAAGUCGAGCAGAUGCGAAAGCAGGACAUAGUGAUCCGGUGGUUCUGUAUGGAAGGGCCAUCGCUCAACGGAUAAAAGGUACUCUGGGGAUAACAGGCUGAUACCGCCCAAGAGUUCAUAUCGACGGCGGUGUUUGGCACCUCGAUGUCGGCUCAUCUCAUCCUGGGGCUGUAGCCGGUCCCAAGGGUAUGGCUGUUCGCCAUUUAAAGAGGUACGUGAGCUGGGUUUAAAACGUCGUGAGACAGUUUGGUCCCUAUCUUCCGUGGGCGCUGCAGAUUUGAGGAAGCCUGCUCCUAGUACGAGAGGACCGGAGUGGACACACCUCUGGUGUAUCGGUUGUCACGCCAGUGGCAUUGCCGAGUAGCUAAGUGUGGAAGAGAUAACCGCUGAAAGCAUCUAAGCGGGAAACUCGUUUCAAGAUGAGAUCUGCCGGGGCCUUGAGCCCCCUAAAGAGUCGUUCAAGACCAGGACGUUGAUAGGUCAGGUGUGGAA